rnacentral:rRNA from 1 species
AAUGAACGCUGGCGGCAGGCCUAACACAUGCAAGUCGAACGAGUGGCGGACGGGUGAGGAAUGUCUGGGAAACUGCACGAUGGAGGGGGAUCACUACUGGAAACGGUAGCUAAUACCGCAUACCAUCGGAUGUGCCCAGAUGUGAUUAGACAGUAGGUGGGGUAACGGAUCACCUAGGCGACGAUCCCUAGGUGGUAUGAGAGGAUGACCAGCCACACGGGAACUGAGACACGUUCCAGCCGCCUACGGGAGUAAGCAGUGGGGAAUAUUGGCGAAUGGGCGCAAGCUUGAUGCAUCCAGGCCGCGUGUAUGAAGAAGGCCUUCGGGUUGUAAAGUACUUUCAUCGAGGAGGCGUUACUCGCAGAAGAAGCACCGGCUAACUCCGUGCCAGCAGCCGCGGUAAUUC